UUGACCUCAAAUCAGGUAGGACUACCCGCUGAACUUAGGCAUAUCAAUAAGCGGAGGAAAAGAAACUAACAAGGAUUCCCCUAGUAACUGCGAGUGAAGCGGGAAAAGCUCAAAUUUUGAAUCUGGCAGUCUUUGCAGGCCGUCCGAGUUGUAANCUAGAGAAGCGUCUUCCGCGCUGGACCGUGUACAAGUCUCCUG
rnacentral:rRNA from 1 species